AUUGAACGCUGGCGGCAGGCCUAACACAUGCAAGUCGAGCGAGCGGCGGACGGGUGAGUAAUGUCUGGGAAACUGCAUGAUGGAGGGGGAUAACUACUGGAAACGGUAGCUAAUACCGCAUACAAUCAGAUGUGCCCAGAUGGGCUUAGCUAGUAGGUGGGGUAACGGCUCACCUAGGCGACGAUCCCUAGCUGAACUGAGAGGAUGACCAGCCACACUGGAACUGAGACACGGUCCAGACUCGUACGGGAGGCGUCAGUGGGAAAUAUUGCACAAUGGGAGCAAGCCGGAUGCAGCCAUACCGCGUGUGUGAAGAAGGCCUACGAGUUGUAAAGCACUUUCAGCGGGGAGGCGUUACCAGCAGAAGAAGCACCAGCUAACUCCGUACCAGAAGCCGCGGUAAUAC
rnacentral:rRNA from 1 species